CGCCCCAUAGAUCUGAGGUUCCCACUCACCAAAAGGCGGCGCCGUUGCGGCAGUUCUCCAUGCGGGAUGGGGAGGGGGGGUCCUCGUCUGUGGGGCAGAAAUGGGAUCUGUGCGGCGCUACAGGGCGCUAUGGGGCUCUAUGGGGUCCCUGUGGGUUUCUAUGGGUCUCUAUGAGUUCCUAUGGGGUCUCUAUGGGGUCCCUACGGGUUUCUAUGGGUCCCAUAGGUUUCUAUGGGCCUCCCUGGGGUCUCUAUGGGUCCCUAUAGGUCACUGUGUGUUCCUAUGGGGUCUCGAUGGGGUCUCCAUGGGGUCCCUACGGGUUUCUAUGGGUCCCCAUAGGUUUCUAUGGGCCUCCGUGGGGUCUCCAUGGGGUCUCUAGGGGUUGCUAUGGGUCUCUGUGGGUCCCAGUGGAGCCCUCUGAAUCUCCACGGACCUCUGUGUGUCCCUAUGGGGUCCCCACGCGUCCCCACGGACCCCUUCGGCUCCCCGCUCACCGCCUCCAUCGCUGUCCGCCAUCGCUGCCGGCUGCGGGAAAAGUCACGUGACCGCGGCACGACGUGACCGCCGCAGCGAACGCGCAUGCACCGUUCCCACCGUUUCCGGUCACCGUGAUUGCUGCCUCGCUGACGGCGCACUUCCGCCUCUCUACCCACAAUGCCCCGCUCUCGAACGGAAAUGGCCAGCCCGGAAGUUAUCGCCAUUUCCCGUCCUGCUCCCACUGCCACAAUGAUGAUUUAGUUCCGCCUCGUUACCCACAAUCCUCCGCGCUCUCACGGAAAUGGUUAACUCGGAAAUUCCCGCCUUUUCCGCCGCUCGUAUCCGCUGCCUCGCUAACGGUGUACGUGUGCCUCGCUACCCACAAUCCCUCGCGCUUAAACGGAAACGGUUUGCCUCGGAAGUUUCCGCUAUUUCCGGUCCUACUCCCAUUGCCUCACUAGUUAUCUACUUCCGCCCCGCUACCCACAAUCCCUCGCGCAUAAACGGAAAUGGAUCGCCCGGAAGUUCCCACCAUAUCCGGUCCUACCCCCGUCGCCUCGCUAAAGACCCACUUCCGCCUCGUUACCCACAACCCUCCGCGCGCUCCCGGAAACGACCAUCCCGGAAGUUCCCGCCUUCUCCGGCACCGAUCCGAGCUCCGAUUGGCCGAGCUGUCCCGGGCGGGCGGAAGCGGCACCAUGGCGGAUCUGGAGCUGAGCGCCGAGGCGCUGCGGGAGCGGCUGAGGAAGGAGCUGGGAGCCGAGCACGUGGAAGUUGAGGACACGGCGGCGUCGCGCUGCGCCUGCAGCUUCCGGGUCCUGGUGGUGGCGGCGGCGUUCAGAGGAAUGGGGCUGCUGCAGAGACACCGGUAUGGGGUGACCUCAUAAAGACCCCAUAGGGAAUCCCAUAGAAUCCCCAUAGAGAUGCAAUAGGAACCCAUAGAGACCCAGUAAGGACCCAUAGAAACCCCAUAGAUGCCCACAGAGAUUCAUAGAGACCCAUAGGGACCCACAGUCCCACACCUCUCUCCCUGCACCCCACAGCCCCCCCCAAGCCCCAUAGACCCCCCC
ensembl:lncRNA